rnacentral:rRNA from 1 species
GGGGAAUAUUGCACAAUGGGGGAAACCCUGAUGCAGCGACGCCGCGUGAGCGAUGAAGUAUUUCGGUAUGUAAAGCUCUAUCAGCAGGGAAGAAAAUGACGGUACCUGACUAAGAAGCACCGGCUAAAUACGUGCCAGCAGCCGCGGUAAUACGUAUGGUGCAAGCGUUAUCCGGAUUUACUGGGUGUAAAGGGAGCGUAGACGGAGUGGCAAGUCUGAUGUGAAAACCCGGGGCUCAACCCCGGGACUGCAUUGGAAACUGUCAAUCUAGAGUACCGGAGAGGUAAGCGGAAUUCCUAGCGUAGCGGUGAAAUGCGUAGAUAUUAGGAGGAACACCAGUGGCGAAGGCGGCUUACUGGACGGUAACUGACGUUGAGGCUCGAAAGCGUGGGGAGCAAAC